AUUGUCGAUCCGCCUCACUCAUUGCUUCUUUAGGGGUUGAAGUGUCUUCCCCUUUCUGAACUUGCUCUGCUGAUGAAAAUUCUCCGUCAGCAGUUCCAUUACCUCGAACUCCAGAUUCUGCUGCUCCAUCUUCUUCACCCAAUUCUUCAUUUUCUCCAACAAUGCCUUUAUCUGUAUUUUCUUCAUCAGCUUCUGCAGAUGCAAAAGUAGAUUUCGCAUCCAUUUUAGGAUGAUUGUCUAUCGCCUGGUCUUCGGGAACUUCACCUUGCUCUAAUUCUUCAUCACUUUUUACUCCAUCUUCAGUAGACUCUUCGUUUUCCUGAACAUUCUCUUCGAAGCCAUCUUCAUUCAUCUUCUCAUCAUCCUCAGCCAGAUCAGAAAAAUCAUCUUGCUGGAUAUCCUCAUCCAGAGUGUUGUUCUCUUCCAAAGGAUCUUCAAAAUCCUGCAUAGGUUCAUCUUUUUCAGCAUCUGCCUCUUCUUUGUUUUCAUCAGCUGCUUCCAUAUCCAUAUCUUCCAAGUCUGAAUCUUUGCUAACAUCACCUUCUUUUUCGUCUAGUUUGAGGUCCUCAGGUAAGUCGAGAUGAUCCUCAUUUUCAGGUGGUGGUUGACUAUUAUUUUCUUGAAUAUCAGGUUGUAUUUCAUCAUCAAUACCAACAUCAUCUGACAUUUCUUCUUCGUCCUCUUUCUCUUGCCUAUCUUUAUCUUCUAAUGCUUUAUUGUCAUCUUCCUUUGAAACCAAGUCGCUCUCAUUGUUUGCAGCCGACUGUUCAUUUGACUUCUGCUCAGUUUCAAGCAAAUCUUCUUCAUUGGGCUCGUCCCAGAGUUUUUCGUUCAGUGAAUUAGACAAAUCUUCAGGGAUAUCAUUGACUUCCUCAUCCAAAUCUUGAUUCUCUUCUUCGCUAUCACUGUUUUCGUUCUCCGAUACUACAGAGUCCUUUGUUACUCCAUUCAUAUCUGAUUCCAACUCUCGAGCUUCAGACUCGUCCAAAUCGCUUUGAUUAGCCGUAUCUUCUUCGUUGGCAAGUUCUUCAAGGUCAUCGUCUUCAUUUAACGUGUUAGUGAUAUCUUCAGCUCCCACACCGGAACCGAGACCAGUACCAGACUCUAAUUCGCCACUAUUUGAUUUUCCUUCUUGUGGAAGGUCAGGCGAGCAGAAACCAUUGUUUGCAACCAUGAAAAACAACGUCGAAAUUUUGGAUAGCGAAUCAAGGUUUGAGUUAUGAACAUUUAUAAAGUAAUCUAGCACACUUUCCGCUAAGUUUAUAAACUGCUCACAAACAGGAAGAAAAAGCAUAAGUAGUUGACAACUCAUUUUAUCGACAGAAGAAGAACGUAACUUCUCUUUCAAAGAACUCAGCUUCAUAGACUGAAACUUUAAAUUAAAAGCUCGCAAAACUUUAGAAAAG